AAUCUUUGAGCUGAAGGCCGAGCUGAACAAUGAGAAAAAGGAGAAGAGGAAAGAGGCAGUGAAGAAAGUCAUCGCCGCCAUGACUGUGGGCAAGGAUGUCAGUUCAUUGUUUCCAGAUGUGGUGAACUGCAUGCAGACGGAUAACCUGGAGCUGAAAAAAACUGGUUUACCUGUACCUUAUGAAUUAUGCCAAGAGUCAGCCGGACAUGGCCAUCAUGGCAGUUAACAGCUUUGUCAAGGACUGUGAGGAUCCCAACCCUCUGAUCCGUGCUCUGGCUGUGCGUACGAUGGGCUGUAUCCGUGUGGACAAGAUCACUGAGUACCUUUGUGAGCCUCUGCGAAAGUGUCUGAAGGAUGAAGACCCGUAUGUGAGAAAGACUGCAGCCGUGUGUGUGGCCAAACUGCAUGACAUCAACGCUCAAUGGUGGAGGACCAAGGCUUCCUGGACUCUCUCAGGGACCUGAUCGCUGACUCCAACCCCAUGGUUGUGGCUAAUGCAGUUGCUGCUCUGUCUGAGAUCAGCGAGGUCUCACCCCAACAGCAACCUUCUGGACCUGAACCCUCAGAACAUUAACAAGCUCCUGACGGCCCUCAAUGAGUGCACUGAAUGGGGCCAGAUCUUCAUUCUGGACUGCCUCUCUAACUACAACCCCAAAGACGAGCGGGAGGCCCAGAGUAUCUGUGAGCGUU